GGGGUUGUGGCUCAGUGGUAGAGCACUCCAUUAGCACAUGCGAGGGCUGGGUUCAAGCCUCAGCACCACCU
rnacentral:tRNA from 1 species